UACAGAGGUCUCAAGCGUUGUUCGGAUUCAUUGGGCGUAAAGGGUGUGUAGGUGGCGCCGUAAGUCGGGUGUGAAAUUUCGGAGCUUAACUCCGAAACUGCAUUCGAUACUGCGGUGCUUGAGGACUGGAGAGGAGACUGGAAUUCAUGGUGUAGCAGUGAAAUGCGUAGAGAUCAUGAGGAAGACCAGUGGCGAAGGCGGGUCUCUGGACAGUUCCUGACACUGAGGCACGAAGGCCAGGGGAGCAAAACGGGG
rnacentral:rRNA from 1 species